CAUGGAAUACAUAUCAUAAAUUCAUAAUGUGAUACAAAUAACUAGUAUUUAAUGCUAACACUGUAUGUUCUUCUUGAGCUAGAACAGAAUUUGGAUUCCCUAUUUUUCCCCAUACAACCAUAUUUAAAUUUAAAAUCACAACAGAUAAAUGAAUGUCCCAAUUCAAAUUUAAAAUCAGACCACAAGUAUAGGGAAUUGGUCGGAUACUCUAUAGCAUAAGUCAUCAACCUAAGAAAAAUGAAAUAAAGUUCUGCUGAACCACAACAUAGAAGACAAAAUUCAGGGCACCGUUAGAUUUAACUUGCUAUGCUCUUGAGCAAGUUGAGCACAAUACAAUAUAACAUGUACAAAUACAGACUUCUAAUUCAUCAAGAACCUGGAUGUGACAAAUCUUCCAUCCUGCAAGAAAUGUAUGACUCGAGUGAAAUAAUGAAUAGCCACAAAGGGGGCAAAACCAUAUGCCUUUUUCUUCCACCAAUUAGAAGGUCAAAGAGUGUUCACAGUCAUCCCAAUUAGACAGUUUACACUGACAACAUUUUAUACACAACCGCAAUAAUAUACUGAGAAUUCCAUAUUUUGACUUAAUUUUACACCUUUCAUCCACACAUGUUAAAACAACCUCAUUUUGAACUGAACUUGGAGCUCACUGAGUCGUAGCUUGGGACAUAUAUGACUGCUGACAAUGAAUUGAAAAAAUUAACAUUAGAGGAGAUACAAAAACCGUUAAGGAGAAUUCUUUUGAAAAAACACCAUCUCUAUAUGAUUCCAUUGUAAGAGGGGAGGAUAUGAACUGCAAUUCAACAAAAUCACAUUAUCACGAGUAAUAGUAAUUUAUGAAGAAGAUUGGAAAUUGAGAUAGAAAGGGUUGGAAAUUGCCAUGACAGGUUGUGGAGUCCCAGAUUGAGGAGUUUGAGUGUGGCAUGCAUAUCCAAAACAGUAUGCAUCUUUCUCUUUCAUUCAUGUUCAAUUUCAUACCUCUCUUGCGAGUGCAAACGAAUCAACAUAAGCCUGCAUAAUUUGAAACACAAUUAAAAUGACCAAAUGACACUUGUCAAACUGUAAAAAAAGCAGACCUGAAUAGUAAGGACAAGGGUUGUUCAUAGCCAUUGAUUCAGAGUCAACGCUAAUUAAUGUUUCAGUGGAUCCUUGCACGGGCUCAGGCACUAAAGAUGUUAAGGAUUUAACACUAUGAAUUGAGGAUUUAAAUUGUAAUUGCAUUUCGGGUAAUUUUUAAAAUUAGGGUCCAUCUGAAUUCAAAAUUAUAAGCAACUAGGGUCAAACACAGCAUCAAGAUUCAUCCUCACAAUCAUUCAUCUUGCAUGCAAUACCUCAUCCCCACAAUACAAAACAACCACUAAAAUUCAGAUUCAUCAAGAUCAAAUGCAUUUGAAUGAGAUCAUAAUAGCAUAUCAUCCAUUUACAAAUUAUGAAUAAAGAAUUCAUACCACAAGUAUAUAAUUUCGAUCCAACCAUCUAUCCAUUGUGAAUAAAGAAUUCAUGUUACAAUAUCAUUUAGGAGUUCAAGAAAGUCAUAAAUAAAUCACAUCAUUAUCAGCUGAAGUUCAAGAAACACACAUCAUUAUCAGUUGAGGUUCAUGAAAAUUACAUAGCUUAAGUUCAAGAAAAUUACAUAGCUUAAGUUCAAGAAAAUCACAUGAUUAUCAGUUCAGGUUCAAGAAAACCACAUCAUUAUCAGCUGAAGUUCAAGAAAAUGACAUCAUUAUCCACUGCAGUUCAAGAAAAUCACAUAAUUAUGAGUUGAAGUUCAAGAAAAUCACAUUAUUAUGAGUUGAAGUUCAAGAAAAUGGCAAUAUUAUGAGGUGAAAUUCAAGAAAAUCACAUCACUGAGAUACUAAGAAAAUGGCAACCUCAUCCUAUGCUCAUCCUCAUCCUCGUCCUCAUCCUAUCAAGAAAAUCACAUCACUGAGAUACUAAGAAAAUGGCAAUAUUAUGAGGUGAAAUUCAAGAAAAUCACAUCACUGAUAUAACUAUCCACUGAAGUUCAAGAAAAUCACAUAAUUAUCCGUUGAAGUUCGAGAAAAUUACAUUAUUAUGAGUUGAAGUUCAAGAAUAUCAUGAGUGAUAGUAAUUUAUGAAGAAGGUUGGAAAUUGAUUCUGUCACCCUCUCUCGCAUGCAUAUCCAACACGAAACAGUAUGCAUCAUUCUCUUUUAUUCAUGUUCAAUUUCAUACCUCUCUUGCGUAGAGUGGUUAUUAUUAUGAUCUCAAGCUCCUGUGAUUCCACAUAUACAUCUCUUUCUGUGUCGCUUUCUCUCGCGUUCUCUCUCUCGCUCUCACUCUCUCCGCGUUCUCUCUCUCGCUCUCACUCUCUCCGCGUUCUCUCUUUCUCGCACUCACUCUCACUCUCUCACACACACGUUCUCUCUCUCACACACACACACACACACGUUCUCUCUCUCUCACACACACACACACACACGUUCUCUCUCACACACAAUUAUGCAAAAACAUCUAAGGAACUUGUCUUUAUAUAGCAGAUUAAGCACCGACACGGUAA
rnacentral:lncRNA from 1 species